GAUGAACGCUGGCGGCGUGCCUAAUACAUGCAAGUCGAGCGAACAGACGAGGAGCUUGCUCCUUUGACGUUAGCGGCGGACGGGUGAGUAACACGUGGAUAACCUACCUAUAAGACUGGGAUAACUUCGGGAAACCGGAGCUAAUACCGGAUAACAUGUUGAACCGCAUGGUUCAACAGUGAAAGACGGUCUUGCUGUCUCUUAUAGAUGGAUCCGCGCCGCAUUAGCUAGUUGGUAAGGUAACGGCUUACCAAGGCAACGAUGCGUAGCCGACCUGAGAGGGUGAUCGGCCACACUGGAACUGAGACACGGUCCAGACUCCUACGGGAGGCAGCAGUAGGGAAUCUUCCGCAAUGGGCGAAAGCCUGACGGAGCAACGCCGCGUGAGUGAAGAAGGUCUUCGGAUCGUAAAACUCUGUUAUUAGGGAAGAACAAAUGUGUAAGUAACUAUGCACGUCUUGACGGUACCUAAUCAGAAAGCCACGGCUAACUACGUG
rnacentral:rRNA from 1 species